GGGUUAGUAGGUUGGUCAUGCCUCUGGUAUGUACUGGUCUCACUGAUUCCUCCUUCCUGAUGAACCUUAAUGCCAUUUAUUUGGUGUUUUGGGGAAUUUGGACUGUUACUUUGAAAAAAUUAGAGUGUUUAAAGCAGGCCUAUGCUUGAAUACAUUAGCAUGGAAUAAUGAAAUAGGACGUUCGAUCCUAUUUUGUUGGUUUCUAGGAUUGACGUA
rnacentral:rRNA from 1 species